rnacentral:rRNA from 1 species
CCGCGGCCUAUCAGCUUGUUGGUGAGGUAAUGGCUCACCAAGGCGACGACGGGUAGCCGGCCUGAGAGGGCGACCGGCCACACUGGGACUGAGACACGGCCCAGACUCCUACGGGAGGCAGCAGUGGGGAAUAUUGCACAAUGGGCGAAAGCCUGAUGCAGCGACGCCGCGUGAGGGAUGACGGCCUUCGGGUUGUAAACCUCUUUCAGCAGGGAAGAAGCGAAAGUGACGGUACCUGCAGAAGAAGCGCCGGCUAGCUACGUGCCAGCAGCCGCGGUAAUACGUAGGGCGCAAGCGUUGUCCGGAAUUAUUGGGCGUAAAGAGCUCGUAGGCGGCUUGUCACGUCGGGUGUGAAAGCCCGGGGCUUAACCCCGGGUCUGCAUUCGAUACGGGCUAGCUAGAGUGUGGUAGGGGAGAUCGGAAUUCCUGGUGUAGCGGUGAAAUGCGCAGAUAUCAGGAGGAACACCGGUGGCGAAGGCGGAUCUCUGGGCCAUUACUGACGCUGAGGAGCGAAAGCGUGGGGAGCGAACAGGAUUAGAUACCCUGGUAGUCCACGCCGUAAACGGUGGGAACUAGGUGUUGGCGACAUUCCACGUCGUCGGUGCCGCAGCUAACGCAUUAAGUUCCCCGCC